rnacentral:tRNA from 1 species
CAAGGCGUAGCUAUAAUCCAAAGCAUUCAGCUUACACCUGAAAGAUAUCUGCUCACCCCCAGAUCGCCUUGA